GUGUGAUGGCCCGGGAGUCAAGGUUGCCCCCGUGGUGGCGUGCCAUUUGCGGUGGUGGACGGUCCGGGGUGUUGCGGGUGGGGUGUGUCUGGUGUUUUUUGGUGGCCACUUGGUCGCAAGCGCUGGCCGAGAUUGGCGUCCAAAUUAGUUUUUUGUAUUUUUCUCACACAAGCAAAUAUUAACCCUAACUUUGGCUAGUGUUUGUGGCCGGGUGGCUGCUGGGAAGGACUGGACGUGCCUCGUUUGCGGUGCCUUGGGUUGUCUGCUGUUGCAGGUGGUGUGCCAUCAUGGGGGUGGUUCUCAUUCAUGGAUUGCCGUGUGGUCU